rnacentral:misc_RNA from 1 species
GCGAUGGACGUUCUGCAGGAUCAGGGGAAAGGACUUCUCUCCGAGAUACCGCUUGCGGGGCUCGCCCACGGCGCAGGACGGCGGAUCGGCCCAGAACGCCUUGUAGUAGGCGCCCCGAUAGUAGUAGCAGGUGAGGCGGAACCCGCCGGGGGCCCAGAGGAUGAAGAACGCAG